GACGAACGCUGGCGGCGUGCUUAACACAUGCAAGUCGAACGGUGAAGGGGUCUGCUUUUGUGGGCCCUGGAUGAGUGGCGAACGGGUGAGUAACACGUGAGUAACCUGCCCCCUUCUUCUGGAUAACCGCAUGAAAGUGUGGCUAAUACGGGAUAUUCUGGGUCUGUCGCAUGAUGGGUCUGGGAAAGAUUGCGCCUUUGGGUGUUUUUGGUGGGGGAUGGGCUCGCGGCCUAUCAGCUUGUUGGUGGGGUGAUGGCCUACCAAGGCGGUGACGGGUAGCCGGCCUGAGAGGGUGGACGGUCACACUGGGACUGAGACACGGCCCAGACUCCUACGGGAGGCAGCAGUGGGGAAGAUUGCACAAUGGGCGCAAGCCUGAUGUAGCGACGCCGCGUGAGGGAGGGAGGCCUUCGGGUUGUAAACCUCUUUCGCCAGUGAAGCAGGCCUGCUCCUUGUGGGUGGGUUGACGGUAGCUGGAUAAGAAGCGCCGGCUAACUACGUG
rnacentral:rRNA from 1 species